UGAGGAAUUUUCCGCAAUGGGUGAAAGCCUGACGGAGCAAUACCGCGUGAAGGAUGAAAGCCUUAGGGUUGUAAACUUCUUUUCUCAUUGAAGAAUUUUUGACGGUAUUUGAGGAAAAAGCAUCGACUAAUUAUGUGCCAGCAGUCGCGGUAAUACAUAAGAUGCAAGCGUUAUUCGGAAUUAUUGGGCGUAAAGAGUUUGUAGGUGGUUUAGUGUGUCUAAUGUCAAAUUUCAGAGCUUAACUUUGAGCUGGCACUAGAAACUAUUAGACUAAGAGUAUGAUAGGGGCAAAGGGAAUUUCCAGUGUAGCGGUGAAAUGCGUAGAUAUUGGAAAGAACACCAAUGGCGGAAGCACUUUGCUAGGUUAAUACUGACACUCAGAAACGAAAGCCAAGGGAGC
rnacentral:rRNA from 1 species